GAUUUCUUGCUAAUCGAAGGACAGAAAGUAAUAAAAAACGGCGGCUUUUAUUGUACUUGACCGAGUUUGAGCGAUGAUGUUUGUACAAAUAUACAAAUAUAAACAGUAAUAAUGGCGGACACCAAAGGGCUUACACACUUAAUGGACAAAUAUUCUUCCAAAGAUCGGUUAAACAAACGAAAUAACAAGAAUCAUCGCUCAAACUUCGGUCAAGUUGUGCAACAAAAGCCGCCGUUUUUUAUUACUUCCUGUCCUUUGAUUAGCAAGAAAUC